CUUGUACACACCGCCCGUCACACCAUGGGAGCGGGUUCUGCCAGAAGUAGUUAGCCUAACCACAAGGAGGGCGAUUACCACGGCAGGGUUCGUGACUGGGGUG
rnacentral:rRNA from 1 species